UUAAUGGAUGAUAUGGUUUGCUUCCUUUGGCUAAUCCACUUGCUGUUUCCAGGAAUGAGAGCGAGAGGUUUGUAUUCGUGCCGUCUAAUGAUUUGGAGCUGCUAAGAUCUCUGAAAGGCAUCGCAGCGACAAAUUCAAAGAGGGUUUAUCACCUUUUUGGGCAUCUUUCCAAGUAGCUCCAUCAUUAAAGCCACAUGAUCAUGCAAUGCCCGGGGGUGUUGGCGGCGAUGGCAGCUCCGGGGCACCGAGGGAGUCGGUCACAUUCGCCAAGGCGAAGUAACUGAUCCGAUUGGUGAACGUGGAGGCGCUCGAACAGAGGCCACUACCUUUGUCCGCGUCUUAGAUGACGCCAAUGUCGUCCUCUUGUUCGUAGACAAGUGGGAAAGAUGAUGGAGGGACUUUCGUACGUGAAGAUAAUAUCUUCACGGACGAGCAAAUAGAUGCCCUGAGGAGGUAAAUCUCCAUCUAUGCCACCAUCUCCGAGCAACUGAUGGAGAUACACAGGGCCAUCAAAACACUGCAAGACUCAUUCUCAAGUUUUCUCUCCUAAAAAUUUGAUUUUUGGUUUAAGAUAGAGUUGAAUUGGCAUUUUUUGUGAUAAUUCUCUGUUUUAGCAUAGAAGGGUAGGUCCUGAGUAAUGGAAAACUUGAUUUGUUGCUUGAAUAUUCAUUUCAUCGAAUCAAGCUAAUUCUAUUGGGUAUCAUUUAUCUUGAAAUUUAUAUGAAGGCUUCGGAAAUAUAAAUUAUUAGGCACAUAUAUGGCUUGUGUGUUAAAUCUCGUAUUUUGAUUAUGAAACUACUUGAUAUAUAUUUAUGAUUUGAUCUGCGUUUUGAGUGACGCAGGAUGUUUCGAUCAGGAUGAGACAAUUAAAGCAGGAAAAUCAUGUUGUGCCGGAGGAAC